rnacentral:ribozyme from 2 species
CUCUUAAUGCAGCCCGCGGCUGGAACCGCGGCCGGUCGCAAGCCCGGGUGAAUGCAGAGCGCGGG